GGGGGGGGCAAGCGUUGUUCGGAAUUACUGGGCGUAAAGGGCUCGUAGGUGGCCAACUAAGUCAGACGUGAAAUCCCUCGGCUUAACCGGGGAACUGCGUCUGAUACUGGAUGGCUGGAGUUUGGGAGAGGGAUGCGGAAUUCCAGGUGUAGCGGUGAAAUGCGUAGAUAUCUGGAGGAACACCGGUGGCGAAGGCGGCAUCCUGGACCAACACUGACGCUGAGGAGCGAAAGCCAGGGGAGCAAACGGGAUUAGAUACCCCGGUAGUCCUGGCCCUAAACGAUGAAUGCUUGGUGUGGCGGGUAUCGAUCCCUGCCGUGCCGAAGCUAACGCAUUAAGCAUUCCGCCUGGGGAGUACGGUCGCAWGRCUG
rnacentral:rRNA from 1 species